UACGGAGGGGGCUAGCGUUGUUCGGAAUUACUGGGCGUAAAGCGUACGUAGGCGGCUUUGUAAGUUAGAGGUGAAAGCCCGGGGCUCAACUCCGGAAUUGCCUUUAAGACUGCAUCGCUAGAAUCAUGGAGAGGUGAGUGGAAUUCCGAGUGUAGAGGUGAAAUUCGUAGAUAUUCGGAAGAACACCAGUGGCGAAGGCGACUCACUGGCCCGAUACUGACGCUGAGGCACGAAAGCGUGGGGAGCAAACAGG
rnacentral:rRNA from 1 species